rnacentral:rRNA from 1 species
GCCAAGUUCAUACGUUAAACGUGAGACUGCGGACGGCUCAGUAUAUCAGUGAUUAUCUGUUUGAUUGUCUCUCCCAUUGGAUAACCGUGGGAAAUCUAGAGCUAAUACAUGUAGUUAAUUGGCAUAUCGCAAGGUAUGUCAAAGCAUUUAUUAGAUUAAACCAUCUACUACUCUGUAGUAAGACGAAUCUAGAUAACUUUGCUGAUCGUAUGGCCUCGUGCCGGCGACGUUUCAAUUGAGUUUCUGCCCUAUCAACUUGUUGGUAAGGUAUUGGCUUACCAAGGUUGCAACGGGUAACGGGGAAUCAGGGUUCGAUUCCGGAGAGGGAGCCUGAGAAACGGCUACCACAUCCAAGGAAGGCAACAGGCGCGCAAAUUACCCAAUCUAGACAGUAGGAGGUGGUGAAGAGAAUUACUAAGUGGUGGUUCAAUGAACUACCAACUUGGAAUGGACGUAACUUAAGCAAUUCGUUGAGAAACAACUGGAGGGCAAGUCCUGGUGCCAGCAGCCGCGGUAAUUCCAGCUCCAGUAGUUUGCUUUAAAGUUGUUGCGUUUAAAACGCUCGUAGUUGGAUCACGCAACGGUGUACGGUAAUCUAUUCACUAGUUCAGAAUGUUCGCAGUGUGAAUCGAAAGAUUAGACUAGGACUCUGUUCUGUGAUAGAUAUAAAAGCUGACCACCGUUAAUUGCACGUGAGAUGGAUUGUUGACCUUUAGUGAGUCGGUAAUCCUGUCUUGCGGAGUGUGCCUUGAAUAAAACAGAGUGCUUAAAGCAGGUUUACGCCUGAAUGUUAUAGCAUGGAACGAACAAUAGUGAUCACGUACGUGAUUUUUAAUAGCAAUAGGCCUAUGGUUUGUUGCUGUUGGAGUCGCGUACAUCACCCACCAAAAUAUGGCUGUUGGUUCCAUAUACGGUGAUGAUUAAAAGGAGCGGUUGGGGGCAUCGGUAUUUGGCCGCGAGAGGUGAAAUUCUUGGACCGGCCAAGGACUAACAAAUGCAAAGGCACUUGUCUAGACCGUUUCCAUUAAUCAAGAACGAAAGUGGGAGGUUCGAAGACGAUCAGAUACCGUCCUAGUUCCCACUGUAAACUAUGCCGACCUGGGAUCAGUUUAGAGAUGCUACAAGCUCUAAAUUGGUCCCCCUGGGAAACCUCAAGUUUUUCGGUUACGGGGAGAGUAUGGUCGCAAGGCUGAAACUUAAAGGAAUUGACGGAAGGGCACCACCAGGGGUGGAGCCUGCGGCUUAAUUUGACUCAACACGGGGAAACUUACCUGGUCCGGACAUCGAUAGGAUACACAGACUGAUAGAUCUUUGUUGAUGCGAUGAGUGGUGGUGCAUGGCCGUUCUUAGUUCGUGGAGUGAUCUGUCAGCUUAAUUGCGGUAACGAACGAGACCACAGUCUCCAUUUAAGAAAUAGAAAAAGAUAACUUAUUGUGUAGGACUUGUCCUUAUCAGUAGGUUGUUGUUGGCUAGAAGUGCGAUCGUAUGGUGACGUUUCUGAGGAGCAAUCUGAAGAGGCGAAGCUGUACGGUUGAGCUUUUUCCUUUCUAUCAAGCAGUAAUUGGUUUCUACUAGUUGCUGCCUUAUGGAGAGACAACGAGGUAUAAAC